rnacentral:lncRNA from 1 species
AGGGUGAUAUCGAGGCGGAAGCGUCCGGCUUCGUUGCCGCCCACGAUUCGAUAGGAACGGUGGUCUACACCAUUGGAACCGAUGUCUGCAUCGGUGGCAGUGUCCAAGAUGACCUGGCGUCCGCUGCUGCUAUCCUCCUUAAAGGUGACCACGAUGGAAGGCUCGGGGAAGACUGGCGCGUUGUCAUUAAGGUCCCGCACCAACACUCGCACCUCCGUGGGGACAGGGAAGUUGCUGUCCAACAUCCCUGAUACCGUGAAACUCCAGGUAUCUGUCACCUACCAGGUCACCUGGGGCCGCCCAGCGCUGUCCAGAGUGCUGCUUACCUGCGCCUUCAAAAGCAGGCUUACUCUGCAGGAAGGGCACGAAGUCCC